GGAGGGUGCAAGCGUUACUCGGAAUCACUGGGCGUAAAGAGCGCGUAGGCGGGAUAGCAAGUCAGAUGUGAAAUCCUAUGGCUUAACCAUAGAACUGCAUUUGAAACUGUUAUUCUAGAGUAUGGGAGAGGUAGGUGGAAUUCUUGGUGUAGGGGUAAAAUCCGUAGAGAUCAAGAGGAAUACUCAUUGCGAAGGCGACCUGCUGGAACAUAACUGACGCUGAGACACGAAAGCGUGGGGAGCAA
rnacentral:rRNA from 1 species